CUGGAGACUAACAAAAUAGAGUCCUUGAAGUCAAGCUGACUCUGCUUUUAGCCUCCUAAAUGAAAAGGUAGAUAGAACAGGUCUUGUGUGCAAAAUGAAUUCAAGUUCAUACUACAAAAACAU
rnacentral:snoRNA from 1 species